rnacentral:rRNA from 1 species
CCUACGGGAGGCAGCAGUGGGGAAUAUUGCACAAUGGGCGAAAGCCUGAUGCAGCAACGCCGCGUGAAGGAAGACGGUUUUCGGAUUGUAAACUUCUGUUCUUAGGGAAGAAGAAUGACGGUAACUAAGGAGCAAGCCACGGCUAACUACGUGCCAGCAGCCGCGGUAAUACGUAGGUGGCAAGCGUUGUCCGGAAUUACUGGGUGUAAAGGGAGAGUAGGCGGCAAGGUAAGCGAUAUGUGAAAGCCUUAGGCUUUACCUGAGGAUUGCAUAACGAACUAUCUAGCUAGAGUACAGGAGCGGCAAGCGGAAUUCCUAGUGUAGCGGUGAAAUGCGUAGAUAUUAGGAAGAACACCAGUGGCGAAGGCGGCUUUCUGGACUGAAACUGACGCUGAGGCUCGAAAGCGUGGGGAGCGAACAGGAUUAGAUACCCCUGUAGUC